rnacentral:rRNA from 1 species
UGAGGGAUAUUGGUCAAUGGGCGCAAGCCUGAACCAGCGACGCCGCGUGGGUGAAGAAGGUCUUCGGAUCGUAAAGCCCUUUUCCCACUGAAGAGGAAGGACGGUAGGUGGGGAAGAAGUCUCGGCUAACUACGUGCCAGCAGCCGCGGUAAAACGUAGGAGACAAGCGGUAUCCGGAGUUACUGGGCGGAAAGGGCGUGCAGGUGGCGUCUUAAGUCUGUUGUGAAAGCGCCUGGCUUAACCGGGCGAGGCCAAUGGAGACUGAGAGGCUGGAGGACGGGGGAGGGGUGUGGAAUUCCGGGUGUAGUGGUGAAAUGCGUAGAGAUCCGGAGGAACACCAGAGGCGAAGGCGGCACUCUAAGCCGUACCUGACACUGAGACGCGACAGCACGGGGAGCAAACG